rnacentral:lncRNA from 1 species
UGUUUGUUCUCACUUUACUUUACCGUCAGAAUUGCACACGCUAUUAUAUCUUAGCUGACAUACUAUGUAGCUACUCACAUGAACUAAAGACACACAUCAAUUAUAACUUCCUGAAGUGAAGUAGCUUAAAGUUUUCCUUGUACUCCAAGAUUGAGGUUACAGCUAUAUGUCUUUGAAUGUGGAAUAUUAUUAUCACAAAAUACAGUUGAGAUUAUCAGCCAAUCCAGUUCAUUCAUACAACAAAAAAUAUGACACUAAACACAUAAAACAUGUUUAGAGCGUACUCUUUAUAAGGUCAUUUCUAAAUAAGGCUAACACUAAACCACAAUGAACAGGCACUUAGCCACAGCAGCAAAGAAAAAGUACCUAUAAAAAGGUAGAAACCCUGGGUAGAUCCAGACUCACUGGUUAAUAGCUGUUUGCUGAAGACAGCUGACAGAUUAAUAUACAUAGCUGACAAUAUUUUCGUAUUCAGACAGCAUCAAGUCUAACCACAUAGUUGUUAGAUUUUAAACUAAACCGAUUUUGCCUAACUGUGCUGAACAAAUCAAGAAUCAAUACUUUUUAUAACCCCCAUGCAUAUAUUACUCCCUUAAAGCUCCAUUUUAUGGGUUUAGAGUGUUUUUACAAUUCAGAUUCAUAUAUUUCAAUUUUACCACUUUAUCUCGUGUCUCCUGGCUAUUAACAGCUUAGAUGUUGUGCACAGGAACUGAGAAAGAAUAGACUUUUCCAUGGGGAACUAAGGGCCUCUGCCCUCUGUUUCUUGUGCGUGUUUUGUAGCAUACAGUGUCUUUGUUAUGUAUACAGCAGGGCACAGACGACAGCAUUUAGCUCACCUCACGAAUGGCACGUACGCACAUUAUCGCACAGCUUCACAAUCUGUUCCGGUUUACAGCUACUAUUCAAACCCUGAACAAUGAUACUGGUGCAAUGAAACAUCUUUAGAUUAGGUGGUACAUUUUAAAUCGUGUGAUCGAGCCAUCUUUAACAUCAUGGAAACUCCAGACACUUCUUUAUCUUUCUCAUUGAUUCUAAACCAAUAACCAAUGAUUCUCAUGGCUGCUGACCUGUCAUUCCGGCACAUGUCUGGGAAUGUUCCAGAAACUGGUUUUGGUUAAAUAUUAAACCAAUACUCAUGUAGCAGAGUGAGAGACUUCUACCUAAGUACCACUCAUCCAAAUAUUAGUUCCAUGAUCCAUGACAACAUUUUGGGUAAGUCACUACCAGAGCACAGAAUUGACUUCGCAGAUCAUUAAAGCCUUAAAAAAACUGCCCAUCUGUGUUACACACUCUAGCUAACUUUACUCUAUUGACAGCCUUUUCCUUUUCCAGCACAUCCGCCUGGUUUGAGGAAAUCAUGGGAAGACCAAGGGAAAAACCCCAAAAUCUGGAUGCAUCAUGUCUCAGUAUUAACAUUAUGGGAAUAAUGAGAGCCAGAAUUUCCUUUUCAAAACACUGGCUGACGCUCAGCAGUUUUAAAAGCACAUUAAAUGUGUUUUUUUCCAUCAUUGUGGUUACAUUUGUGUACAGUAAGCUGUAGAGAAUGAAGUAUUGAGAUAACAUAUGUGCCUUUGACAGAUUUGACUGAUCACCUCUGCUUUCUUUUCUUUCUCUCUAGUCUCAACGUUCACAGCCUUGAAGAUAUGAACUCUUGGACAUUUGAUUGUGUAAGGCCCAUCUACAAGUCAAGCAGAAGUUCAUGAAAACACCCUUUUGCAAUUUCCCCUCUAUACUCCCAGUGUGAUCAAGUGUUGAGCAACACAAACCUCCACGACAGCCUCCACCCCAUGCUGUUAAAGCACUGGUUUCUGUAGCAAGGCUGCAAUCUGGAAAAAGAGAGAAAAAGAAAAAAAAACUUUACAGUAUGGUCUCGUAACAUCUAAAAAACAGACAAACUUUUGUAAUCUUAAAAGAUGACCUGUCUCUUAUGUCAGAAAUCAGAAAAUAUUGUAAAACCGUCUCUUUGCUUUCUUUAGUCUUUGUCACAAAACCGCUGCUUUACACUUUAGUGAACUAUUUUGAUGAAACAUUUAAACAUGAUAAAUGCAAGUUUGUUUUAUUUAACAAGGUCAUGGUUUGGGUAAGAUCCAAAUGACUCAGACACAUCAGAUCUCUGAGAUACGAGUGUGGAUUUUAGAGAACUUCAGAGUUAAAGGAGUAGAUAUGGAAACCUUUUUCGUUUCAACCAUGCGCUGCUUCCAAGGAACUUGCACAACUGUCCCUGGAUCUGUGUCACUACUAACACACGGUAUUUUGAGAUCUGUUUUUCUAACCCUACUCUUAAGGUCAAUUCAUAAACUGUUGUAUUGUUCCUGUUGGGUCUGUUUAAUUUGGACUGGUUUUAACACUGACACUGGUCUGGAUCCACCUUCGCUCAAACUCUGGUGUGGUUCGCCUGUGGUAAGGACAGACGGUGGCGUAACCGCAGGACUGUUUAAAAGUGGAUAUGUGACACUUUGACUGACUGAAAAGCUAAAAUAAACAAGCUCAAACAAUGGAUAUGCUGCAGCACACUGCACACAUAUCACUGAGGGGUCAGAGCAAGUGAAUAAACCAAGUAAGUUUGUACAUCGUUAAAAUUUUCCAUUUCAUAUUCUUGCCGCAGAAUUUGUAACACUUCCUAGAUUGAAUAAAUGAAACAUAACCCUAGAUUACCACAACAAUUAAAGACACUGUGAAGAACUCUCAUGCUGUGUUGAGUGUGGCGGCCCCUUUGGUGGAAAUCAGUAGUGUUCUUUCAGGAAUUAAGCCAACAUGUCACACGAGAACCAUCAUCCACUGUUGUAAAUAUGUGUGGCCUGUAGCUCUUGCAAAGGUAUUUGUUGUGGAAGCCAAUGAAUAGAAUACAGAUCUUAUUUUCAAUACCACUUUCUUUUACAUCGACUUGUAAGAUAAUUUUAUGGAAUUUCAUGGACUAUCCAACCCAAACACGUGUUAAAAUUUUAAUUUAAUGCCUGCCUCUGUACUGAAAAGCCUACUAUUUACCUCUCUACAGUACAUCUGAUUUUUACCACCCAAUCUGAAUUCACCUCUCCACACUGUCACUGUAUAUCACUAUAUUUCCUCUUUCCCCACCUGUUAAUGAUUGCUAAUCACAGGUGAGAGUCAGCAAUAGUCUGAUAAAACUCACGGUGCUUUUAUUCGCUUUGUCUCUAACCAUCAAAAUAAAUGAAAACCACAAGUACAGACUAAAAAUAACACUGGGUUCUUGUACGACAUCUCCUUCCUCUGUUAUGAGUCACAGUGAACACCAACUAAAGCAGUAACUCUGCAUGUAGAUUUGUAUUUUUUUGUCCUCAAACAAAAGAAGCAGGUGUAGUACUUGUAGCAAGUCUUACGUGUACAUUUUUUGUUUUCUUUUGGUCUAAGCCUCUAUAUCACUGUAAGGCCUGAAGCUUAUACUCGUACUGUAUAUGUACAUGUCCAGUAAAAACUAUAUAGAAUCUACAACAUAAACUCUGACAUAACACACCAAUAUACAAGAGCAACACAGCUGUACAGGCUCAACUCUUGACACUCAAUAAACCGAAGCUGUGGCCAGAACUACGACUGUUCAUUGUGUCUUAAGCUCCUGUUCCUCUUUGGACCAAUGGCAGGAUGUGUUGCUAUGGCAAUGGACAAUGACCACAAAGAGUAAACAGCAAAGACAAAACCAAGGGCUCAGUGUGUGUUUGUGUGUUCACAAAUAUUAACUUCCCAGCCGGUUCUAUAAGACCAGGCUGGUUAAAGUUCAACAAACUGUGCAGCUCACACAACACACAACAGUCUGGUUAUUGUACCUCUUUAAACUGACUUCAUGAGAACCAGUGUGUCAAUUUUAGUUGAAUUUAAUGCACAGGCAAGAAAGAAACUCAGAGUUCAAAUAUGAGGUAAUGAUUCAGCUUUUCCAGUCCUGGUAUCAAUCUUUAAAUUAGUACUUAUAGCUAACUUGUGAUAUUCUUGCUUCAUAUCAGCUCAACCCGCUGAUCUCAGCUCUACAACAGGUCCUUUUUAAUACAGACUAAACAUUACCACCGCUUUCUGUAGAGCUGUUAAUGAUCAACCACAAAGCUGCUGCUGUCAAAACUCUCUUUACCCAAGUCACCUGAUCCUGGCCACUGAGCACACAACAUGUGAACAGAAACACACACGUACACAGAAGCACACACACACACACACACACACACACACACACACCUAAGAGCUAAAGUUCAAACCUGGGUGGGGAUCCAUUAAAGCUAUUACAUAUUAUGUAGUGUAAAGGUGAGAAAGAGACUGAUGGAUACGAACUUAGGUAACUGUUUCAAAGAAUAAAAGAAACAUUCACGCAUAUUCAUUCAGCAGGAGUACAGAGAAAACACCAGAGGGAUGAAAAGCUCUAGAUUAAGAGGGCUUUUAAGAUCAAGAAGAAAAGCAUAAAGGGUGAAACUUCAGCGAUUUGUCUUAAGCAAUAAAGUUGUUUUUGUUCCUAAAUUGUGCAAAUUUGUCUAAAUCUUCAGGAAAGGUGGAGUCACUAAUCUGUUUUCAACUUUGCGUCUGGUUAUGCCUGUUCUGUUGGAACCUCUCGACCUGAAGCAAUCAGCGGCAGAGAUUGCGAAGAUCAUCCAGAAGCAACACACACAGCCACAUUCCUACCUGCAAAAUGUGGCUCUAUGCGUGUUUGUGUGUGCUACUUUGUGUGUACUCAGCAUAGCUAGACUUCAGCCUGGAUUUCUAGCGGCUCCCAAACUCCCCUUUGCCUCCCCUUUCCUUUCUCCCUUCUUCCCUGUUAUAACCUGCAGAUUAAGCAUUACGGUUGAGUAAGCGUUCAACCCCAAACGUUCGUCAGGCAUUCAGAGAAUGACGGAGUCCCUUAUGUAACUUCUCCUUUAUUAACCAGGUCAUUGGAAAGCACCACCUUCUUUUUUUCUUGGAAAAGACAAACACUAGAGGAGUGAAUGCACCCUAAAUUUCAUCCAAAUAUGUUAGUGGAGUUUUUAUCUUUUAAACCUCAAUAACCCCCCGUGCUAUCUCAAAGUUUUCUGCUGUUGAAACUCUACAGCACAGUCGAACUGAACUAAAACCAGACAAAGGGCAGCGUAGAGUUUACACUGGUGUUCAAACAUGCUGGGAGGAAUAAGAAUAGUAAAAAGUGAUACUAGAAGCUCUAAUAUGAAGUUGAAAGUCAAUUAAACGUUAAGAUAUGUUUGAAAAUAUAUGCAAUAUGACUUUUAUUAGUCAUCAGAACUGUGGAAAAUUUUGGAGUAACACAUUUGGCUUUUCUGCUUGUGGUCUUAAGUAGCAGUAAACAUUCAAUACAGCCCUCUACUGUUUAAUAUGUUACAGCUGUCCUAUUGUGAAGGCUAACAUCAACAAUAGUAGUUUCUUGAGUCACCACACUAUCACUCAAUGUUAUGUAGAAAACCUUAUUUAGGUCCCUGUAUUGGCUUGUUUUGAUGAGUUACCUCUGACUAACAGAGGAGUCAAGCUUUGGGGAGUCACCCUUAAAUUAAUGGAAAUCAACUUAUCAAAACCGUUGUGUAAAAAGUACAGCUGGUAAGUUUUAUCUCUUCUGUGCGGGAACUGAUGGGUGUAGGAUGUUUCUGCUUAAGUUUGUUGAUGGAAAAGAAAAUCUUUAUUUUACUUUAUUGAAAUAUAAUUCUAUAUUUGUUGUUUGUGUCACAUUCAAAACACCUACAUCCUCUGUUUUACCAAGCUCUUCUUUAUUUACCAUAUUCAAACUGCAGCCUUUCUCCUCUGACGUCAAGGCUGGAGAGCAAGAAAAACUGGAACGCUGCUGUGAUAUUGUUUAGCUAGUACCAUCUAACUAAGACACAUAUAGUAUAAGCUGAUGUAACUUUUCACCCCUUUACAGAUAGUAACUGAACAGCAUACCUAACAGCAACAGUCAAAAUUCCUCCUGGCAUACAAAUCAGCUUCUUUGUGACCAUUUACGUCUUUCCUGGAUUGUAAGUAAAGGCUUUUUUUAGCUAUAAGAGACUGAUGAUACCUAUGCAACAAAGGUUCCAGACACUGCGUUUGUUUAGCUAAUCAGUUGCUUGUUGUGCUAAUCCUUGUUUUGUCAUUUUCUCCCCCAGCAUGUUUAGCUAGCUAACAUUCUUUGUAUGCAUCUAGUUUUUACCUGAAGCAAAUGGGUUAGCAAAUAUUUUGUUACGACUUAAGUUGCUGUAUCUUUUCCACAGUUCCUUGUCCUUCGCUUGCAUAUCAAUGACACACUGGAAUGAUAAUAACUUGUUAGAUACCCUGCAUGAUUUAUUACCUAGAACACUUUUAUUACCUGUCGUGCUUUGUGUGACAUAAGAGUAUUCGAGUCUCCAAUCCUGCAUGACUCUAGAGGUGAGGUUGCCUUGUGGACAUGGUCAACAACAUACAAGAAGACAAAGCUUUUUUGACACAUAUUUGCAUUUUAGAUGCUAAAGUAAUGAGCCCAAGGGAGCAGGAUGCAUAUUUUUCUUUAACACUUCUCUAAAGCUGCAAAGCAGGGUGUACAGAAGGUUAAGAGGCUACCGUGGUUUACAGACAUGGCCUGCCUCAAACACGGAUUAAACUGUAUUUCGAUAGAAAACACAAACAUUACUGCAAACUCGAGCAUUACAAACUUAUUUGGCCAGAAAGGAGGAGGAGAAAUGUGAAGAAAUUAUAGAGAAAAAUAGCAGCGUCAGUAAGUCAGACUUUGGAAGAGGAAGGAAGAGAGAAAUAUUUGGGUAGUGACAUCACAGCAACGGACUGGAAGUGCGAUCCUUUUAUAGCCAUGUUCUCUCUCUCUGCCACAUUCCUCAGCCACAGAGCUCAAUCCACCCCUCCUCCUCCUCCUUCUUCCUUCUAUUUCAGCGACUUCACUUCUGCGCCAACCCCGAGUGCUGUGACGCAAACACAGGGAACGAGGGGGGAGGAGACACGGGAAAGGAAGGGAGAGAAAAGUGGGUAAACUGUGAGGGAGAAGGCAAAGAGAAAAUUCCCCGAACUCCCCCCUCCUUACCUCUCCUGACCACUUCUCUUUUCCUUUCACUCCACUCUUCCUCUCUCCUCUUUUACUUUCACUGGCUGCUGUGAUUUGGCACCAACGGUAGACCUGGAGGAAUUCAUAGCUAAGUGCUCCAUUUCCGAUCUACAGGAGCACCUUUCAUGAAGUUUGAAAUACAUCUUAUAUGCCCAAAAAGGCCUAAGAGGAGACAGAUGUCUCGGUUUUAGCAUAUUCCUUUGCGUAUAAGUCAGAAAUAUUGAAAAGUUUAUGAGCCGUGCUUUGAAGCUUUGUACGAAGAGAUUUGUGUGCUCCCAGAAAACAGAAUAUGGACAAACAUUCUUGAUAUUAAUUUUAAAGUGGCAUGACAACCAUAUGAUGUGGGUAUCAUUAGAAAAGCUACGCUAAUCCAUCAGCUCUGAUGUUCCCUUUUUUAGAAAACAAGAAGUGAAUCUAGAUGAGCAUGUACAAACUGUUCUGAAAAGCAGAAACAGAACCAAUGGGCUGUGGCGCACAUGUGGAAACAAGAACAGAAUAAGAUUUACAACUAAGAUGACAGCCUUCUAUUAAGCUAUGAAUUACUCAGACGGAGCCACAGUCCUUGUACUUUACUGACACAAAUCAAUCCAGAAGUCAUUAGAAAAGAGCUUUGUAGACGCUGUAACAUUUCUCAGGGGUUUGUGCUUUUAAAAACAAUGCCCCUGCCUCACGUUUCAAUAAUAAAGCUAGAGGAAAAACACACGCAAAUCAGAAUCACAUCCUGAAGAAAACAAGAAGUGUAUUUCUAUUCACUCUAGCAUGACUUUGUGUUGUGCAAUUAAAAAAUGCAACUUAGAUCACACCCUGGCAGCUGCACUUAAAAGACCUUCAUCUAGAGUACGUUGUGUUUCUUCAUUCUUUAAUGUACAUCUCUUAAAAACCUGCUUAUGUUUGGUUUUACAUUUUACAGUCUGACUUGAUUUUUCAGAUAAAAUAUAUCAAGGUACAGCAGUCACUCUUGAAUGCUCAUACACUAUUAAAACUCGUUCAUUCCCUCAUUCCUCAUAUUCCUAAAGCCCUUGGUAAAUCUGUGUAAAAGUAGUUGAUCUUUUUAGAUGUUAGUUUUAUGGCUAAUCGACUGUAUUGUUAUACUUUAGUAAACCUGAGCCUCAAAUGGAUCAGUUGCAUCAGGGUGUUGGGCAGAAGAAGAAAGUCCCUUAAGUCAGUUUCACAUCUGUUUGUGUUAUUAAAGCAGACCUUUCACAACAGGCUGGCCCAUGCAUGUUCCCUUCAUGCUUCCUGUUCAUGCUCACACUCAGUAUAUGCUUCUCUUUUUAGACUUCACACUUCCUGUUUUUUAUGUCCUUUCCUUAAUAUGGUAUGAACAUAAAUUAGCACUGCGUCAGUGUGUUGAUUAACAGCAGAUGUGUGACCUGCUCACGAGAAUAAAAACAGCUUUCUGUGUUAAAGGCCGUUGAUACUUUCAUUUUAACCAUCCAUCGGCUGAGGACAGUUUAAUGUUGUACUUGAAAGAACAUUUUUAAAGUCAACUAUUAAAAUCUGGUGUAAUAUUUGUGUUUGCAAAGAACUUAAACCCGGUGGUCCUAUUAAAAAAGCAAGAACUAGAGGUAGGAGACUAGAUCUGAUACUGUUUUGUGAGAGUACUUUUUGUUCUCCCCCUCUCAUCACUUCUGUUCCCAGACGUAAGUGGCAGCUGUUUUCAAUGAAAAGAUAAACCAGCAUUGCGCUAUGUACACUGCCAAAACUCAGAUUUUUGGAAGUGUUUUUGCCUCAAUUUUGUAAGAAUGUUAUAUCACACUAAAUACAAGCCACUCUGACCUAACAAGUCUAGUAACCCAUCUUAUUUUAUGAUGUUACAAGCCAAAAACAGGACCUACAGUUUGUCAUAGGUGGAAUAAUAUCUUUGGGGUUAAACAUCAUUCUUAUCCCAACUUAGCUCUUGUUUCAAGAAUCUUGGAAAGUGUAUUUUUCUUACCCCUCUGACAAAUUUUUUACCAAUUAAAAGCAAAUUAGGUGGUAUUUUUGGUCUCUAGUAUGUUCAAAUGGAUUAUUAUUGGAUGUUUCAGGUGAAUGUGGCUCAUAUUGAGAUAUCUUGCCGAAAUAUUGGAUUUCCCCUUAAGGAUGGAAAAAAAUCCUCUUAAUUUAACUGAAAUAAAACAAACACAUUGUUUUUGCUCUACAAAAAAAGCAUAUAAAAAAGUCCAACAACAA